GACGAACGCUGGCGGCGUGCUUAACACAUGCAAGUCGAGCGGAGCGGCGAACGGGUGAGUAACGCGUGAGUAACUUCCCCCCUCUCUGGGGUAACCGUUGGAAACGGCUGCUAAUACCGGCUAGUUGGGGAUGACUCGCGUCCUAUCAGCUUGUGGGUGGGUUAGUGGCCUACCAAGGCGACGACGGGUAGCCGGCAUGGGAGGGGGACCGGCCACAUGGGGCUGAGAUACGGCCCAAACUCCUACGGGAGGCAGCAGGGGGGAAUAUUGCACAAUGGGGGAAACCCUGAUGCAGAAACGCCGCGGGCGUGAUGACGGCUGUCGGGUUGUAAACCGCUUUAAGCCAUGACGCGGUAGUGGCAGAAGAAGCACCGGCUAACUACGUGCCAGCAGCCGCGGUAAUAC
rnacentral:rRNA from 1 species